AUCAGAUCAGAACCGACGCCAGAGAACUGAGUCCCCAAUCUAAACUGUCAAAUAGCUCGAGGCAAGGUGCUCUCACGAAUCGCACCUUCCUAUUUCGACAAAACGUUCAAGAACUUCAGCGCUAUCUGGUUAAGUUCUGGAGUGAAGGCGGCCAAGAUCGGCGUUCGAAUCGGAGUUUAAAGAUAACGUAAUUUUCGGAGAGAGAAGGUAUCGCCGCCACACG